UACAGAGGAGGCAAGCGUUGUUCGGAAUCACUGGGCUUAAAGCGCGUGUAGGCGGCUUGGUAAGUAUUCUGUGAAAUCCCACGGCUCACCCGUGGAACUGCAGGGUAUACUGGCGAUCUUGAGCCACCUAGGGGCGAGCGGAACAAGCGGUGGAGCGGUGAAAUGCGUAGAUAUCGCUUGGAACGCCAAUGGUGAAAACAGCUCGCUGGGGGUGUGCUGACGCUGAGACACGAAAGCCAGGGGAGCGAACGGG
rnacentral:rRNA from 1 species